rnacentral:lncRNA from 1 species
AGUCGCCAGAGCUGUCAUACCUCUUUUUUCUCGAACGGGGAAUAUGGGAAGUUUUUCCAAUUUAAGUGACAUGAAUCGAAAUGGGAUUAUUUAUUUAUUUCAGAGUCGUCACUUGGAAUAAUUUAUGGUGUCCCAAGUCACCGGUUUAUUUUAAAUCCCAAAUCGAGGAAAUUGACUCUUAUUUAUGGUCUGCGAACACAGAAGACCGGGUAAGGAAUUCUGUUAACCCGGGAGAAGGUGUGAGGCACUCCCGAGUUCCGUGAUUUUAGCACGGUCACUCAACUAUUAAUAAUUGGCCUAAUUAUCUGAUUUAUUACAUGUUUUAAAAUCUAUUGCGCAUUUUUACUUUUUAACCGCUUUUAAUUAUUUAUGAAAUUAUUUUUGAAACAAGUCACGAUGUCGUACACUUGUCAUUUUGGCACACACCGCAAACCGCGCCACAUGAAAUGCACCCGCGAUUUACGACAUGCUUAUUUUUAUUAUUGUUUGAAGUUAUGAUCGGUCCACAUGAAAUUCGAAAGAAGGACUUCUACAUAAGAAAGAAAAAAUAUUUUUUGGCUUUUGAUGUUUUUUUUUGGAUUUUUGGGAGAAAGUCUUUCUAAAAAAAAGGUAGAAAAAUUGUUUUUGGAUUUUGAUUUCAUUUGUUUUAUUUUUCUAAUGAAAGACUCCUACAAAUAAAAUAUUUUUUGGUUUAAACUUUUUUUUAAAUUUUUUUUUAUUUGUUUGGGAUUUUGUUUUUUUAAAAAAAGACUACUAAAAGAAGGAAUUAAAGAAAAUAUUUUUGGAUUUUUUUAAAAAAAAUGGGGUCUCAAAGAAAGAUUUUCUGAAAAAGGAAAUAAAGGAAAAUAUUUUUAGAUUUUUGAAAAUUAGGGUCUAAAAGAAAGACUUUCUAAAGAGGAGAUAAAGAAAAAUAUUUUUGGAUUUUUGAAAAUUGUGGGCCGGAACCGAUGAGGUUUGCCUACGUAUCUCACACCCGGUGAGAAUCAGACCCGCGUAGUUCUGCUAGUUUUGACGGAACAAGGGAAACAAUGACUUUUGAAAGCAUUGGCUUAUUUUCUCUCCUUUUUUUUUCAAAAUUUCCACAGAGUUUCGAAAUGUUUCAAAUACCUACCUCACUCUUUUUUUUUUCUUGAUUUUCUUUUCCUAUUCUAGAAAUCGGUCAACAUACAAGCCGAAGCAAAUAAGUAGCACGUAAAAUGCAUCAAGAUGGUCUUUUAAUUUUUGGGUACACCUGUCCUAGAUGGACCCAACCCCUGUGUUGAGUCCCUAAGGUCAAAUGCACGUGAUGCAGACAAACGUUCCUACUAGGGAUCCAGCAUGAGGCUAUAUUAUUCUAAGAUUGAAUCCUGAAGUGUGUUGCUCUAGACCUGGCUCACCCGAGCGGACAACUCGAGCCGGGGGGAGGCAACGUACCGGUAACCAAAAGGCCAUCCGGCUUUGUAACUGAUCCGAUCCUAGUUCUAAAUUAGGAUAUGACACUAACAGAAAAGAAGUCACGCCAGUGUGCACUUCCCAGAAGAUUUAGAAGACUCAGAGAGGAGAAUGGUUUCGUGACAGUUUAUAUAUAGUCCAAACAAUAUCAAAGCAGUAAAAGUAGGCAUUUAGCACAUUAGGCUCAAACACGUAAAAAAUUAGAUAAUAAGUAAAAGCCAAGUAUAACAGUCAUCUAAGCUCGAAUUCUGAACCCUGAACCAGAGAUUCUGGGUUCGUUCCCCAGCAGAGUCGCCAGAGCUAUCACACCUCCUUUUUUCCGAACGGGGAUAUUAGGGGGAGUUUUUUCAAUUAAAGUGACAAUAUCCGAGAUGGGAUUAUUUAUUAAAUUCAGAGUCGCCACUUGGAAUAAGUUAUGGUGUCCCAAGUUACCGGUUUAUUUUAAAUCCCAAAUCGAGGAAAUUUGACUCUAUUUAUGGUCCGCGAACACAGAAGACUGGGUAAGAAAUUCUGUUAACCCGGGAGAAGGUGUGAGGCACUCCCGAGUUCUGUGGUUUUAGCACGGUC